rnacentral:lncRNA from 1 species
CCCUGCCACUGCCAGCCAGCCAUCGAUCCUCCCACGGAUUUGUUUGCUUCUCCUCCCUCCAUGGCUCCAGAUCGAGUCUGUCUCGCCGAGGCCACCUCCCGGAGGGGCGAGCAGUUAAUCUGUCCCCGCCUGGACUGCGACCACGUGCUACUAAGAGCAAGCUGUAAGCUGGCUAAAUGCUGAUGUGGAGGAGAGAAGGGAGGAGAGAGAGGAGAAGCAGGCUGUAAGCUUACAGUCAGCUUAAACACAAAAACUAAGAAACUUUGUGAGAGAGAUAAGUGGACCAUAUAUUAAUAGUGAAUAGCUAACUAUUGUAUGGGUGGGCUUCAAGAAGGCUGUAAGGAACCUUACAGCCAGCAAGUGGACUGUAUUAUUAAACUUAAACUUGCUCUAAGGGCAUGUACAACGCGUCGAUUUGAGCUGUCUGUGUGUUGUGUUUUUUGCAAAAUAAUCCCUGGCGAGCUAGAGACAGGGAUUGGUCGUCGUCUCGCGAGAGGACGACGUCGGCUCGUGCUCCAAGGCCGAGUCGACGCUGCGCCGACUGCUGUACCAGCUGCUGCGAGCUAUCGCCGGCAUCGCCUGAUCUAGUGCUCCGUGUGCUAAACCCGUUGUCCCAGGCGCAGAAGGGAAGACAUGCAUGCGGCAAAUCCCCCUCGUCGGCGGCGUCCGCCCCGGCCCCGGCGACGCAGAGCACAAGCACCAACAACCGAGCCUGAGCCUGAUGUCCAUGCCAACCGCGGUACUCUCGCCCGCGACACCGCUGCGCACACCAUCCAUGGAGGGGACGUGCUGCUCUGUGCGGCUGCCUGUAGUUUAGGUGCUCGAUGAAAUGCCAAGUCGUUCUAAAAUGCUAGUUCAAUUGUUUAUGCUAUUUCUAUAUUAACUAGUCAUGAUCAAUGAAAGUACUACAUUCCUGUCCUGUGUUAUUUUUUUAUUACUGAAAACUGAAUGGCAUUUGACUGAACGAGCUGGUACUGAAAACUGAAUGUUGUUUGGUAAUUUCUACAUGUCUGAAGAAGCUAUUACUCGAAUGCUAUUGCUUAUUAUCUACACCUGAA